rnacentral:rRNA from 1 species
UACGAAGGGUGCAAGCGUUAAUCGGAAUUACUGGGCGUAAAGCGCGCGUAGGGGGUUCAGUAAGUUGGAAGUGAAAUCCCCGGGCUCAACCUGGGAACUGCUUUCAAAACUGCUGAGCUAGAGUACGGUAGAGGGUGGUGGAAUUUCCUGUGUAGCGGUGAAAUGCGUAGAUAUAGGAAGGAACACCAGUGGCGAAGGCGACCACCUGGACUGAUACUGACACUGAGGUGCGAAAGCGUGGGGAGCAAACAGG